UAGUUUAUUAUUUAUUUAUUUUAAACUUUAUUGCACAACUAAAAUACGUACAAAUGGCGGACUUAAUGCCUCAAGGCAUUCUCUACCAGUCAACCAUAGGGCAAAACAGAAAUUCUCGAAUUGUUAGGGUCGGCAACGCGCAUGUAACUCCUCUGGAGUUGCAGGCGUACAUAGGCUACGGAGACUGCUUACCAUCAGGCGGGCCGUAUGCUUGU